CAGCUGAAGGUGAGCGACCACAGUGAGACAGCUGAAGGUGAGCGACCACAGUGAGACAGCUGAAGGUGUGCGACCACAGUGAGACAGCUGAAGGUGAGCGACCAGUGAGACAGCUGAAGGUGAGCGACCACAGUGAGACAGCUGAAGGUGAGCGACCACAGUGAGGCAGCUGAAGGUGAGCGACCACAGUGAGACAGCUGAAGGUGAGCGACCACAGUGAGACAGCUGAAGGUGUGCGACCACAGUGAGACAGCUGAAGGUGAGCGACCAGUGAGACAGCUGAAGGUGAGCGACCACAGUGAGACAGCUGAAGGUGAGCGACCACAGUGAGGCAGCUGAAGGUGAGCGACCACAGUGAGACAGCUGAAGGUGAGCGUCUGUCAGCCAGACCUGGGUUCAAAUACUAUUUAGGGUAUUUCAAUUACUUUCAAAUACAUUUGGAAAGUUUUUUUAUUUUUUUUUAAAUACUAGAAUACACCAACUCAAAUAUAGUAUUUGAAAAUACUUUAAAAUUGUAGGCUAUUUUAAGGAAAUUGUGCAGAUUUCCUUUCACCUACUCUGUGUCUUUGUUACACGCAGAGUAGGUGAACGGAUGAUCUCCGCAUGUGUAGUUCCCACCGUGAAGCAUGGAGGAGGUGUGAUGGUGGGGCUAUCAUCUGUUUUUCCCCAGGACAAUGACCCAACACACCUCCAGGCUGUAAAAGGGCUAUUUGACCAAGGAGUGCUGCAUGAAAUGACCUGGCCUCCACAAUCACCCGACCUCAACCAAAUUGAGAUGAGUUGGACCGCAGAGUGAAGAAAAAUAAACCAACAAGUGCUCAGCAUAUGUGGGAGCUCCUUCAAGACUGUUGGAAAAGUAUUCCAGGUGAAGCUGGUUGAGAGAAUGCCAAGUGUGUUUAAAGCUGUCAUCAAGGCAAAGGGUGGCUACUUUGAAGAAUCUAAAAUAUAUUUUGCUAUGUGUAAAAC
ensembl:lncRNA